UGAAACAAGGUGGAGUGUAACAGGUGGUGUCAGAGAGCUAGUUAAAUGCUGAGUGUGCUUUUUCUGUUCACUCUCAAGUUGAGAGAGAAAGCAACCAAAAUGAGUACAAAAUCUUUUUACUUUUACUAGUCAUUAGAGGUACUGAAAGUCUAUCCUUAGUGUUCCUUCUGACCAGGAUGAGAUGAUGCCAUAGCAGUCUUGCCAGCCAGAGUUGAGAGAUAAAAGAAAACAGAUGAAGGAAAGGAAAAGAAAGCCUGCAUUUUUUUCAGGUCUGGAACAAUGAUAUAAAAGUGGAUGGCAAUCCCUGAAGUACUGCAAGUCUGCACCCAGCAGAAAGAAGAGGAGAAAGCAAGUGCAGCUGACAUGAGCGCUUUGCAGCUAUGUUUGUGCAUGAGAAGAAGCAGUGAGAUUAACCUGCCAUUGAUACCGGAGGACAUUUGCAGUUCCAGACCCGGUUUCCUUUACAAAACAUCCUGGGCAAAAUUCUGAUUCAAAGUGUGCAGGAUGGAGCUUGGACCUGAGAAUCUGCUUCCCUUGUGCAUGAAGAUUCAUCUCUUGGCUUCUACCCUCCUGUCUGUAGGAGAAAAGUAAAAUAAUAACAUCAUCCGGAUGUCAUAUGUUAACAAAAGGGCUCGGCUUAAUGAAAGGACGAGAAUUGAUCUCAGACUUGCACAGUACAAGCAUUUGAAUUGGUUCAAAUCCUUCACCUGUCGCAUGCCGGCUCAACAAGUUAUGGGGUCCACUGGGACCAGACUGAAGAGAAGCUUAUCACUUGACAAAUCAGAGCCUUGGCCAUACUUUGUCAAGAGUUCAAUAAAAAUUGAGAUGCUUUCAUGAAAUUUUUCAGUUGUUGCACCACGGUUUCCAGGAAAAAACAGAAAAUUCC